AUAAUACUUCCUUCGUCCAAAACUUCUUGUCUUAGAUUUUUCUACAUACAGACAUAUCUAUAGACGUUUCAGUGUUAGAAACAUCCGUACCUAGAUAAAUCUAAGACGAGAAUUUUGGAACGGAGGUAAUAGAUA
rnacentral:pre_miRNA from 1 species